ACGAUUAUUGUUGAUUUUAGAUUUCAUACAAUGAAAUUAAAAAGACAGCGCCCUACGCCUAAUUAUGUAGAAAAGGAAGUAACAUGUUUUUUUUGCCACUGCACCCACCUUGACACAUUUCAGAUUUGCCCUAUGGUUGACUGGUAAGAUACCCGCAAUAGGGUAUUCGACUGUAUUUAAGAUAAAUUAUUUCACACCAUGCAUGAAAAAAAACUGAAUAGGGUAGAAAUAUAAAAAUGUGCCUCGAAAACCUAACUGCUUGGCAAAGAGAACAAAUUGCCAAAGUGAACUAUGUAUCAUCGAAGAGUUCCGUUCUGUUCAUCAUCAGCAGUUCCACUUCAUCAAAUGUCACUUCUACAAAUCGGAGAGGAGAAAUCGCUAAACGUGUACUAUGCUUCGUUGAAGAGUUCCAUUCUGAUCAUCAUCAGCAGUUCCACUUCAUCAAAUGUCACUUUUUUAAAUGUAAAUGCUCGAUUUGUUACAGAAAAUACAAAAAUCAUUAUA